ACACCGAUGUGUAGACAACUCUUUAUCUAUAUGCUUCGCUAGGCAUGUUGCAGCUACUUGGUCUCUAAGUCAUGUAGGCUCACCUAACAGUUAUUGCCCACACUUCUUAGGUAAGCCUGACCCACCAUUCACAAGCAAGUGCAAGGUCAUUAUUGGGUCCCUCAUCUAACAGUUAUUGGAUCCAACCCCAUCCUUAUCCUGGAGCAACUCUUUGCUAAGAGAGUGGUUGCGUGUUCUUGAUGCAACUGAACUACUGUGACU
rnacentral:lncRNA from 1 species